rnacentral:rRNA from 1 species
AGAUUGAACGCUGGCGGCAUGCCUUACACAUGCAAGUCGAACGGCAGCACGGGGGCAACCCUGGUGGCGAGUGGCGAACGGGUGAGUAAUGCAUCGGAACGUGCCCAGUAGUGGGGGAUAACUAGUCGAAAGAUUAGCUAAUACCGCAUACGACCUAUGGGUGAAAGCGGGGGAUUCGCAAGAACCUCGCGCUAUUGGAGCGGCCGAUGUCUGAUUAGCUAGUUGGCGGGGUAAAAGCCCACCAAGGCUUCGAUCAGUAGCUGGUCUGAGAGGACGACCAGCCACACUGGGACUGAGACACGGCCCAGACUCCUACGGGAGCAGCAGUGGGAAUUUGGACAGU